AACCCAUGCUGAGGACAUUUCCAUAGGAGAUCCUUUAACCUAUCCCAUGUCUCAAAGAGAGACUCCAAUUCCAUUUGAACAAAUAGAGGAUAUUUUAUUCCUAAGCUU